rnacentral:rRNA from 1 species
UACGAAGGGUGCAAACGUUGCUCGGAAUUAUUGGGCGUAAAGCGCACGUAGGCGGCAUUGCAAGUCGGAUGUGAAAUCUUAUGGCUUAACCAUAAAAGUGCAUCCGAAACUGCAGUGCUUGAGUACUUAAGAGGAUCGCGGAAUUCCCGGUGUAGAGGUGAAGUUCGUAGAUAUCGGGAGGAACACCAGUGGCGAAGGCGGCGAUCUGGGAAGAUACUGACGCUGAGGUGCGAAAGCGUGGGGAGCAAACAGG